GACCUGCACGGUGACCUCGUCCGAGGAGGACGCAACAGGGAAUCCAGGAAUGGCACCAGGCAAUGGAAAACCCGCUGGCACGUUGUGCUCCAUACCUAGAUUUUACGAACAAAGGGACUCGAGACCACGUGGAACAACGAAGAAACGAAAGUUAAUGGAAGAAAAAGACGAAUCGUUCACGAAUUCCAUAAAAGAUUGUUGCUGAACAGGGACGAACCUGACUGGUUGGGCGUUUGUGCUGCGAACGGAUGAUUCAAAGUUUCGCAAUCUGGAUGAUCUGCGUUGCGUUCGAUCGUACCCAUUGUCUAUGUUUUCUUUUUCUGCUGGUAUCGAAUCUCGCGCAAAUGUCGACACUCGUGCACAACUAAUGGUUUCAAUCUCGAGGAAGUAAUUGAAGAAAUCACGAUACCGGAAUGCGAAAGGCAAAUCGUAUUGUCAUCGACACGGAAUUCGCAGUUGGCGUGUUAU